rnacentral:lncRNA from 1 species
CUAUCCCAGAAUAGACCCUCCAUAAAACUAAUUGCUGAUCAAAGCUUUCUAUUUGCAUUGUAUAUUUAAGCACAUUUUUCCUCCAGGCAGGAAGAAAAAAGAUGGCAUUACAGUAGAGUCUCACUUAUCCAACACUCGCUUAUCCAACGUUCUGGAUUAUCCAACACAUUUUUGUAGUCAAUGUUUUCAAUAUAUCGUGAUAUUUUGGUGCUAAAUUCAUAAAUACAGUAAUUACUACAUAGCAUUACUGCGUAUUGAACUACUUUUUCUGCCAAAUUUGUUGUCUAACAUGAUGUUUUGGUGCUUCAUUUGCAAAAUCAUAAGCUAAUUUGAUGUUUAAUAGGCUUUUCCUUAAUGCCUCCUUAUUAUCCAACAUAUUCACUUAUCCAACAUUCUGCCAGCCCGUUUAUGUUGGAUAAGUGAGACUCUACUGUAUUUGAACUCUUUAUCGAUCGCAGAAGCCCUUGCCAGCUUGUCCAAUGGCCGGGGAUUCUGGGAGAUGGAGUCCAAAGCGCCACACAAGGGUCACGUGACGGAGGGCGCCCAACGAAAGCGAAGCGGGAGAGGCCCCUGGGCGAGCUAUUUUUGAGCGUGUGUUGAUACCACACCCUUUGCAAAGCUCGCAAUCAAGCCGUUCCCUCCCCUGAACUACAUUUCCCACAAUUCCCGCGCGGCAGGAAGCUCUGUCCGUUUGAAUCUGCUGAAGAGGGAAAUGAAAGAAAGCUGAUCUGGAAGAGCGUUGGGACGGAUUGUUAUACAUAGGCAGACAGCUGAGGGUCUAGCGAUGACCCUGCAUCUGUCUGGGCAAACAUCUUUCUGGGAGAACUUUUGCAUAUGGUGAUUAUUGACACAAACUGUGAACAUUUGAAGAAGUCCUUGACAGAAAGGACUCCUCUCUCAUCUUUCAAUCAGCUAUCUGUGUUUCAGUAUCAGACCAGAAGUUUGAAACAUUAAAACUUUAAAAUCAGAGGUAUAUUUGACGUUGGAUGUUGCGGAAGUGGAAAAGACAAGCAGCCUGAAAGCCAUGAUUUUUUAAAAUUGUAAGUCCGUUUACAACAUGUCUGAAAUAAAUGGAGCU